rnacentral:rRNA from 1 species
UACGUAGGGUGCAAGCGUUGUCCGGAAUUAUUGGGCGUAAAGAGCUCGUAGGCGGUUUGUCGCGUCUGCUGUGAAAAUCCAGGGCUUAACCCUGGACCUGCAGUGGGUACGGGCAGACUAGAGUGCGGUAGGGGAGAUCGGAAUUCCUGGUGUAGAGGUGAAAUUCGUAGAUAUUGGGAAGAACACCGAUGGCGAAGGCAGGUCUCUGGGCCAUUACUGACACUGAGAAGCGAAAGCAUGGGGAGCGAACAGG